CCUACGGGAGGCAGCAGUGGGGAAUUUUGGACAAUGGGCGCAAGCCUGAUCCAGCAAUGCCGCGUGCAGGAUGAAGGCCUUCGGGUUGUAAACUGCUUUUGUACGGAACGAAACGGUGAGCUCUAAUACAGUUUGCUAAUGACGGUACCGUAAGAAUAAGCACCGGCUAACUACGUGCCAGCAGCCGCGGUAAUACGUAGGGUGCGAGCGUUAAUCGGAAUUACUGGGCGUAAAGCGUGCGCAGGCGGUGAUGUAAGACAGAUGUGAAAUCCCCGGGCUCAACCUGGGACCUGCAUUUGUGACCGCAUCGCUAGAGUACGGUAGAGGGGGAUGGAAUUCCGCGUGUAGCAGUGAAAUGCGUAGAUAUGCGGAGGAACACCGAUGGCGAAGGCAAUCCCCUGGACCUGUACUGACGCUCAUGCACGAAAGCGUGGGGAGCAAACAGGAUUAGAUACCCUGGUAGUCCACGCCCUAAACGAUGUCAACUGGUUGUUGGGUCUUCACUGACUCAGUAACGAAGCUAACGCGUGAAGUUGGCCGCCUGGGGAGUCGGCCGCAAGGUUGAAACUCAAAGAGUAGUACGGCGNGAGAGACGCGACGACGGACGACGACGGGAGGGAGGAGG
rnacentral:rRNA from 1 species